GACGAACCGUGCGAACGUUAUUCGGAAUCAUUGGGCUUAAAGGGCGCGUAGGCGGCGAUAUAAGUUGGAAGUGAAAUCCCAUCGGCUCAACCGUGGAAUAGCUCCCAGUACUGUAUCGCUCGAGGGGGAUAGGGGUCUGCGGAACUACCGGUGGAGCGGUGAAAUGUGUUGAUAUCGGUGGGAACGCCAGUGGCGAAAGCGGCAGACUUGACCCUUCCUGACGCUGAGUGCGCGAAAGCUAGGGGAGCAAACGGGG
rnacentral:rRNA from 1 species